GCUCAGUUGGUUAAGCAUCUGACUUUUGAUUUUGACUCAGGUCAUGAUCUCACAGUUCAUGGGUUCAAACCCCAUAUAGGGCU
rnacentral:tRNA from 1 species